GUGAGUCAUCGAAUCUUUGAACGCACCUUGCGCUCCUUGGUAUUCCGAGGAGCAUGCCUGUUUGAGUGUCAUUAAAUUCUCAACCCCGAAUCGAUUUGUUUCGAGCUCGGUGGCUUGGACUUGGAGUGUGCUGGCCCCUACCCGGGUCGGCUCCUCUUAAAAGCAUCAGCGGAAGAUAACCUUUGGUCUUUUAGCUGGUCGAUCAGUUGUGAUAAUCAUGUUGCGCUGUUACCCUUGAUCAGAGUUUUCGCUUAUAAUCGUCCAUCGGACAACAUUCAACCAAUUUGACCUCAAAUCAGGUAGGAUCUACCCGCUGAACUUAAGCAUAUCAAUAAGCGGAGG
rnacentral:rRNA from 1 species